rnacentral:rRNA from 1 species
CCUACGGGUUGCACCAGUGGGGAAUAUUGCACUAUGGGCGCAAGCCUGAUGCAGCCAUGCCGCGUGUAUGAAGAAGGCCUUAGGGUUGUAAAGUACUUUCAGUUGGGAGGAAGGCGUUGAUGCUAAUAUCAUCAACGAUUGACGUUACCAACAGAAGAAGCACCGGCUAACUCCGUGCCAGCAGCCGCGGUAAUACGGAGGGUGCAAGCGUUAAUCGGAAUUACUGGGCGUAAAGCGCACGCAGUCGGUUGAUUAAGUUGGAUGUGAAAUCCCCGGGCUUAACCUGGGAAUGGCAUCUAAGACUGGUCAUCUAGAGUCUUGUAGAGGGGGGUAGAAUUCCAUGUGUAGCGGUGAAAUGCGUUGAGAUGUGGAGGAAUACCGGUGGCGAAGGCGGCCCCCUGGACAAAGACUGACGCUCAGGUGCGAAAGCGUGGGGAGCAAACAGGAUUAGAUA